UGCUAAGCGAGCGCUCUACCAUCUGAGCUACAUCCCCAUCGUGCUAAACUGUUUUAGUUAGGUACAAUUUCGAUACUUGGAACAUCGUCAAAGACGAUCGUCGGUCAUCUCUGUUUUGUAUAUCGUGCACGUCUAUAUCUGCAGAAACUCAGAGCUUCCGCUCCCCCCCCCCUCCCUAUGCAAAAACGAAGAGUUUGAUUACUGCAUUUGAGAGAAUGUCGUUUUGCUAUCCAUCAUCACCGAGAAAACUGGCGAUAACGGUGGCGUUUUUUGCAUCAGGGGCAGCUCUUUUCGCCGUUGGAAUCCAUCUUUCGUAUCUCAACGUUGCUCCUCAGCAAGCUCGUACUAAAGCCCGUAAUGAUUUCGUCAAAGAACGCAUCAGGCAGAAACAAGGCAAGUGACUUCUCAAGAUUCAGAUUAUGUCAGCAUAACAACAGUUCCAAUUUCUUUUUUAGUAUUUUCUUGUAAUCUUACCUUCACCAUCUCCAACCUUGGAACAAAACAAAAAGAUCGUAUUUAUGGAGCAAACGAUACACAGAGUACAUCAA